CCUACCUAUAAGACUGGGAUAACUUCGGGAAACCGGAGCUAAUACCGGAUGACAUAAAGGAACUCCUGUUCCUUUAUUGAAAGAUGGCUUCGGCUAUCACUUAUAGAUGGGCCCGCGGCGCAUUAGCUAGUUGGUGAGGUAACGGCUCACCAAGGCGACGAUGCGUAGCCGACCUGAGAGGGUGAUCGGCCACACUGGGACUGAGACACGGCCCAGACUCCUACGGGAGGCAGCAGUAGGGAAUCUUCCGCAAUGGACGAAAGUCUGACGGAGCAACGCCGCGUGAGCGAUGAAGGCCUUCGGGUCGUAAAGCUCUGUUGUUAGGGAAGAACAAGUGCUAGUUGAAUAAGCUGGCACCUUGACGGUACCUAACCAGAAAGCCACGGCUAACUACGUGCCAGCAGCCGCGGUAAUACGUAGGUGGCAAGCGUUGUCCGGAAUUAUUGGGCGUAAAGCGCGCGCAGGCGGUUUCUUAAGUCUGAUGUGAAAGCCCCCGGCUCAACCGGGGAGGGUCAUUGGAAACUGGGAAACUUGAGUGCAGAAGAGGAAAGUGGAAUUCCAAGUGUAGCGGUGAAAUGCGUAGAGAUUUGGAGGAACACCAGUGGCGAAGGCGACUUUCUGGUCUGUAACUGACGCUGAGGCGCGAAAGCGUGGGGAGCAAACAGGAUUAGAUACCCUGGUAGUCCACGCUGUAAACGAUGAGUGCUAAGUGUUAGAGGGUUUCCGCCCUUUAGUGCUGAAGUUAACGCAUUAAGCACUCCGCCUGGGGAGUACGGUCGCAAGACUGAAACUCAAAGGAAUUGACGGGGGCCCGCACAAGUGGUGGAGCAUGUGGUUUAAUUMGAAGCAACGCGAAGAACCUUACCAGGUCUUGACAUCCUCUGACAACCCUAGAGAUAGGGCUUUCCCUUCGGGGACAGAGUGACAGGUGGUGCAUGGUUGUCGUCAGCUCGUGUCGUGAGAUGUUGGGUUAAGUCCCGCAACGAGCGCAACCCUUGAUCUUAGUUGCCAGCAUUCAGUUGGGCACUCUAAGGUGACUGCCGGUGACAAACCGGAGGAAGGUGGGGAUGACGUCAAAUCAUCAUGCCCCUUAUGACCUGGGCUACACACGUGCUACAAUGGAUAGUACAAAGGGUUGCAAGACCGCGAGGUGGAGCUAAUCCCAUAAAACUAUUCUCAGUUCGGAUUGUAGGCUGCAACUCGCCU
rnacentral:rRNA from 1 species